GCAAGUAGUUACUCUCCCCUUGAGAUGGAUCAAAGAAGAGGAAAUUGCGAGAAGUCGUGGGAUUCCACGCUUCAAUGCAUCAUGCAAUGCCGAGAAAACCUAGAAUUAUAUUUCGAUUCUUGAUGGAAUUUAAUAGGAGAAUUUUCAGGGUGCCAUUAACGGAGGGAUUCUUUAAGGAAUGUCAAUAGGGUAAACCCUUUAGUAUUCUUUGUUUGCAGCUUGUGAAGACGGCACUAAGGAUCAUCUCUAAUUUGG